AUACGUAGGGAGCGAGCGUUGUCCGGAAUUACUGGGUGUAAAGGGUGCGUAGGCGGGACUGCAAGUCAGAUGUGAAAUGCCGGGGCUCAACCCCGGAGCUGCCUUUGAAACUGUGGUUCUUGAGUGAGGUAGAGGUAAGCGGAAUUCCUAGUGUAGCGGUGAAAUGCGUAGAUAUUAGGAGGAACAUCGGUGGCGAAGGCGGCUUACUGGGCCUUUACUGACGCUGAGGCACGAAAGCGUGGGGAGCAAACAGGAUUAGAUACCCUGGUAGUCCACGCUGUAAACGAUGAUGACUAGGUGUGGGGGGACUGAACCCUUCCGUGCCGCAGUUAACACAAUAAGUCAUCCACCUGGGGAGUACGGCCGCAAGGUUGAAACUCAAAUGAAUUGACGGGG
rnacentral:rRNA from 1 species